rnacentral:rRNA from 1 species
UGGGGAAUAUUGCACAAUGGGCGCAAGCCUGAUGCAGCAACGCCGCGUGAACGAUGAAGGUCUUCGGAUCGUAAAGUUCUGUUGCAGGGGAAGAUAAUGACGGUACCCUGUGAGGAAGCCCCGGCUAACUACGUGCCAGCAGCCGCGGUAAUACGUAGGGGGCUAGCGUUAUCCGGAUUUACUGGGCGUAAAGGGUGCGUAGGUGGUCUUUCAAGUCGGUGGUUAAAGGCUACGGCUCAACCGUAGUUAGCCUCCGAAACUGGAAGACUUGAGUGCAGGAGAGGAAAGUGGGAUUCCCAGUGUAGCAGUGAAAUGCGUAGAUAUUGUGAGGAACACCAGUAGCGAAGGCGGCUUUCUGGACUGCAACUGACACUGAGGCACGAAAGCGUGGGUAGCAAACAGG